rnacentral:rRNA from 1 species
UACGAAGGGGGCUAGCGUUGCUCGGAAUCACUGGGCGUAAAGCGCACGUAGGCGGCUUUCUAAGUCAGGGGUGAAAUCCUGGAGCUCAACUCCAGAACUGCCUUUGAUACUGGAGAGCUUGAGUCCGGGAGAGGUGAGUGGAACUCCGAGUGUAGAGGUGAAAUUCGUAGAUAUUAGGAAGAACACCAGUGGCGAAGGCGACUUACUGGACUGUAACUGACACUGAGGCAUGAAAGCGUGGGGAGCAAACAGG